rfam:Myotis brandtii contig277471, whole genome shotgun sequence.
ACCUGGAUGGCUCGGUUGGAUGGAGCAUUGUCUUGUACACCAAAAAGUUUCGGGUUCAAUUCCUGGUCCGGGCU